GAGCAACAUGUACUGCCUUCAAGAUGCCAUCAUUUCCAGGUACAUCCAUGCAAUUUUCAAUAAAACAAUGCAAAACAACAUUCUGCACACAUUGCAAAGACAUGGCUGUGGAGAAGAGGUUAUGGGGUGGGCCAGUUU